UACGGGGGGGGGCAAGCGUUGUUCGGAAUUACUGGGCGUAAAGGGCGCGUAGGCGGCCUGCUAAGUCGGAUGUGAAAUCCCUCGGCUCAACCGAGGAACUGCAUCCGAUACUGGCGGGCUUGAAUCCGGGAGAGGGAUGUGGAAUUCCAGGUGUAGCGGUGAAAUGCGUAGAUAUCUGGAGGAACACCGGUGGCGAAGGCGGCAUCCUGGACCGGCAUUGACGCUGAGGCGCGAAAGCUAGGGGAGCAAACGGGG
rnacentral:rRNA from 1 species